rnacentral:rRNA from 3 species
AUUGACCUCGGAUCAGGCAGGGAUACCCGCUGAACUUAAGCAUAUCAAUAAGCGGAGGAAAAGAAACCAACAGGGAUUGCCUCAGUAACGGCGAGUGAAGCGGCAUUAGCUCAAAUUUGAAAUCUGGCCCCGUCGGGGUCCGAGUUGUAAUUUGUAGAGAGUGCUUCGGGUGAGGCCCCGGUCUAAGUCCAUUGGAACAUGGUGUCAUAGAGGGUGAGAAUCCCGUAUGCGACCGUGGCUCGAGCCCAUGUGAAGCCUCUUCGACGAGUCGAGUUGUUUGGGAAUGCAGCUCAAAAUGGGUGGUAAAUUUCAUCUAAAGCUAAAUACUGGCUGGAGACCGAUAGCGCACAAGUAGAGUGAUCGAAAGAUGAAAAGCACUUUGGAAAGAGAGUCAAAAAGUACGUGAAAUUGUUGAAA